ACAGCGCCCAGCGUGCACUUCUUCAGGAAAAAACACACGACCUCUGCCCCAUGGCAUCUAACCCUGCAAUCAGAUGGCAGUGCCGGCAAUAUCGAGGUGUCGCUGGGAAUGCUAAUGUUCCUAGCACAAUUAGCUGUGGAGCUUUGCAAACAUCACCAGCGAGGCACUUAAGAGGCCCCUUUAAAAUGUGUUUAGUUUCUAAAAUAAAUGUAAAAGAAAUGUAAGAAGAAAGUAUUUAAACAGCAGUUGGACGUUGGACUUAAGAAUGAAGUGCUGGCCCUGAAGAAAAACU